ACCAUCAGGGAGCUGGAAAAAAUGGUUGCUGAAUGUAAGUUGUGUAGUUACUUUGCCCUUGGUUAAUUUCAGGACAUUCUAAUUGGCUGAUACCAAGUUAAUUCUGUGUUUGUGACGAUUUCAGCAAGGCCACCUGCGAUUGACAAACAAGUUGUGACGAUUGCAGCAAGGCCACCUGCGAUUGACAAUCAAGAAGCUGAUCCAUCACAAGCAAUUAAAAGAAGACUGCCUAGGGAAAUCAAGCUGAAGCUAGCC
rnacentral:lncRNA from 1 species